UUUCACUAAAGAACCAAGAGAACCAACUAUAAGAUGCAAUCAAGGGUCCAUAAUUCUGGUCCAAACUUCAAGAUCUUUUCCAAGGAGAAAAACUUGCCAGUUCUUUUUUAUGAGACUUAUUUUUGAGGACAACCGCAGGUCUGUUUGUCUCUUAUCCUUUAGUAAUUCAUUCUACACAAGUGUUAACUCCUACCUUGCCUCGCCCCCAAAAUUGGAUAUGAACCAGGAGGAGAUUAGCAGUGGCCAGGUUCAUCUGGGAAGGUGUGACUACCUUAGGUAAGGGUCCUUUGGCAGUGCAUCUUUGGACUUCCAGUGUUCAUGCAUUUUUUGGAGUGUCUAAGAACUGGGUUUGAUAAUCUAUGCUAAACUAAAAAACCAAGUAAACACUGGGAUGAUUAGGAGUUGUAUACAUGAAUGCUGCAUGGAUUGAUCUGAGAAGGAAUUAAAUCAACCUAAAACAAGCAAAGAAUAGAGCCAAAGACAGUUCGCAUACUACGUAUUGAUAAGUACCAGAUCUGAAUCAAUUGCUUCUCAUACAAAACUAAGUAAACUUUUAAAAUGCAAGAUAGGGAAAAUCUCCUUAGAAUGUGAGGUCAUUUCAGACCUCCUCAACUCCCCAAAUGUUUAGGUGAAGGCCUUCCUAAAUUACUUCAUUUAGCACCUUUACAACCAAACAUCACAAAUCAAUACUCAGCUUAAUGACCACAUCGCUCUUCUCUAAAUACGUUUCUUUUUGCCUUCUUUGUGGUAAUUAGGAGAUGGGUCGAUACCAGCUACCUGCCAAGGGCAGGGUGCUCAGCAUGAAACAGAAGUCAGACUGGUAAUUUCAGCUUAUGUGCAAUAUAUGUCAACAAGAUAUAGCCUUAAUCAACACUCAUACAGUAUAGAAAUGAGCCCUGAGAAAACUGGGCUUCUCUCAAGACCCCAGCCUUCAAGUCCAGGUUAGGUCACUAACAUAAAUGGCAAGUGCCUUGUUCUUUUUUUCCAUGGAUUUACCUCACAAAGAGGUACUGUCAUUUGG
rnacentral:lncRNA from 1 species